CCUACGGGGCGGCAGCAGUGGGGAAUAUUGGACAAUGGGCGAAAGCCUGAUCCAGCCAUGCCGCGUGUGUGAAGAAGGCCUUCGGGUUGUAAAGCACUUUCAGUGGGGAAGAAAGCCUUGGGGCUAAUACCCUCGAGGAAGGACAUCACCCACAGAAGAAGCACCGGCUAACUCCGUGCCAGCAGCCGCGGUAAUACGGAGGGUGCGAGCGUUAAUCGGAAUUACUGGGCGUAAGGCGCGCGUAGGCGGUCUGAUAAGCCGGUUGUGAAAGCCCCGGGCUCAACCUGGGAACGGCAUCCGGAACUGUCAGGCUAGAGUGCAGGAGAGGAAGGUAGAAUUCCCGGUGUAGCGGUGAAAUGCGUAGAGAUCGGGAGGAAUACCAGUGGCGAAGGCGGUCUUCUGGACUGACACUGACGCUGAGGUGCGAAAGCGUGGGUAGCAAACAGGAUUAGAUACCCCUGUAGUC
rnacentral:rRNA from 1 species